GAAAAAGAGCUGAUGCAGGUCUUGGCACUGUGCCAGUCAUAGAUGAAGGUGUUUCUGUCAGUUCCCCGAGUCGUUGUCCUCUGCAACUCUCAAGCUGUCCCUGCUGCUCUGGAGGCAAGAUGUCACUGAGGUGACUGUUGCCCACGGAGGCUUCAUGGCUGGCCCCUGCUUCUGCCACUGUGAUGACUCAAAUGUGAUGGGACCACCUUAUAGAGAGCCACACCAGGGUGCCAUAGCACACUGAUUGAGAACCAUG
rnacentral:lncRNA from 1 species